rnacentral:rRNA from 1 species
CCCUUAGAUGUCCUGGGCUGCACGCGCGCUACACUGAUGUGUCCAGUAAGCACCUAACCUCUUCCGAAAGGAACGGGUAACCUUUGCAAAGCACAUCGUGAUGGGGAAAGAUUAUUGCAAUUAUUAGUCUUGAACGAGGAAUUCCUAGUAAGCACAAGUCAUCAGCUUGUGUUGAUUACGUCCCUGCCCUUUGUACACACCGCCCGUCGCUCCUACCGAUUGAAUGUUCCGGUGAGCUCUUCGGACUGCGCGGUCUGCAGUUUCUGCGUUCCGUGCGGAAAGUUGCGCAAACCUUAACAUUUAGAGGAAGGAGAAGUCGUAACA